ACUACGGGUGGCAGCAGUGGGGAAUAUUGCGCAAUGGGCGAAAGCCUGACGCAGCGACGCCGCGUGAGGGAUGAAGGUCUUCGGAUCGUAAACCUCUGUCAGCAGGGAAGAACGGUCACUGUGCUAAUCAGCAGUGAAUUGACGGUACCUGCAAAGGAAGCACCGGCUAACUCCGUGCGAGCAGCCGCGGUAAUACGGAGGGUGCGAGCGUUCAUCGGAAGUACUGGGCGUAAAGCGCUCGUAGGCGGUAUGUCAAGUCAAGGGUGGAAUCCCCGGGAGCAACGUGGGAACGGCCUUUGAAAAUGGCAAAAUGGAGUGUGUGAGAGGAUAGUGGAAUUCCAGGUGUAGGAGUGAAAUCCGUAGAUAUCUGGAGGAACAUCAGUGGCGAAGGCGACUAUCUGGCACAUAACUGACGCUGAGGAGCGAAAGCGUGGGUAGCAAACAGGAUUAGAUACCCUUGUAGUC
rnacentral:rRNA from 1 species